rnacentral:rRNA from 1 species
GUCGAACGGACCCAUAUUGAAACCUAGUGAUAUAUGGGUUAGUGCCGUACGGGUGAGUAACGCGUGGGUAACCUGCCUUACACAGGGGGAUAACACUUAGAAAUAGGUGCUAAAACCGCAUAAGCGCACAGCUUCGCAUGAAGCGGUGUGAAAAACUUCGGUGGUGUAAGAUGGACCCGCGUCUGAUUAGCUUGUUGGCGGGGUAACGGCCCACCAAGGCGACGAUCAGUAGCCGGCCUGAGAGGGCGGACGGCCACAUUGGGACUGAGACACGGCCCAGACUCCUACGGGAGGCAGCAGUGGGGAAUAUUGCACAAUGGGGGAAACCCUGAUGCAGCGACGCCGCGUGAGUGAAGAAGUAAUUCGUUACGUAAAGCUCUAUCAGCAGGGAAGAAAAUGACGGUACCUGAGUAAGAAGCCCCGGCUAACUACGUGCCAGCAGCCGCGGUAAUACGUAGGGGGCAAGCGUUAUCCGGAUUUACUGGGUGUAAAGGGAGCGUAGACGGCAGCACAAGUCUGGAGUGAAAUCCCGGGGCUUAACCCCGGAACUGCUUUGGAAACUGUGCGGCUGGAGUGCAGGAGGGGUAAGCGGAAUUCCUAGUGUAGC